rnacentral:rRNA from 1 species
CAGCAGCAGCCACGGGAAUACAGAGGGUGCGAGCGUUAAUCGGAUUUACUGGGCGUAAAGCGUGCGUAGGCGGCUUCUUAAGUCGGAUGUGAAAUCCCUGAGCUUAACUUAGGAAUUGCAUUCGAUACUGGGAAGCUAGAGUAUGGGAGAGGAUGGUAGAAUUCCAGGUGUAGCGGUGAAAUGCGUAGAGAUCUGGAGGAAUACCGAUGGCGAAGGCAGCCAUCUGGCCUAAUACUGACGCUGAGGUACGAAAGCAUGGGGAGCAAACAGGAUUAGAUACCCCCUAGUCCCUGUCUCUUAUACA